rnacentral:misc_RNA from 1 species
CGCACAUUGCGUCCCUUGGUAUUCCGAGGGGCAUGCCUGCUCGAGCGUCAUUCCAACCAUCAAGCCUAGCUUGGUCUUGGACGCGGUCUCUAGACUCGUCCGCAACUAGUUGGCGGUACCGUGCGAAUCCAAGCGUAGCAAACACAUCGCUUCGGAACCUCGUGGCGGCACCCGUUAGGAAAGCUCUUCUAAGUUUGACCUCGGAUCAGGUAGGGGUACCCGCUGAACUUAA